rnacentral:tRNA from 1 species
GGGUCACUAGCUCAAUUGGUUAGAGCAGCGGACUCUUAAUCCGGUGGUUCGGGGUUCGAGUCCCCGGUGACCCA